ACUCCUACGGGAGGCAGCAGUGGGAAUAUUGCACAAUGGGCGCAAGCCUGAUCCAGCCAUGCCGCGUGAGUGACGAAGGCCUUCGGGUUGUAAAGCUCUUUCAGAUGCGAAGAUAAUGACGGUAACAUCAGAAGAAGCUCCGGCUAAAUUCGUGCCAGCAGCCGCGGUAAUACGAAUGGAGCAAGCGUUGUUCGGAAUAACUGGGCUUAAAGCGUGCGCAGGCGGAUCAAUAAGUCAGGAGUGAAAUCCCAGGGCUCAACCCUGGAACUGCUUCUGAAACUAUUGAUCUAGAAUCCGGGAGGGGUCAAUGGAAUUCCGAGUGUAGAGGUGAAAUUCGCAGAUAUUCGGAGGAACACCAGUGGCGUAGGCGAUUGACUGGACCGGUAUUGACGCUCAGGCACGAAAGCGUGGGGAGCAAACAGGAUUAGAUACCCUGGUAGGCUCUGCU
rnacentral:rRNA from 1 species